ACAUCCAGAGAAUUUAGCAGAGAUGCUUUAGUGCCUUCGGGAACUCUGAGACAGGUGCUGCAUGGCUGUCGUCAGCUCGUGUUGUGAAAUGUUGGGUUAAGUCCCGNAACGAGCGCAACCCUUAUCCCUUUGUUGCCAGCACGUAAUGGUGGGAACUCAAAGGAGACUGCCGGUGAUAAACCGGAGGAAGGUGGGGAUGACGUCAAGUCAUCAUGGCCCUUACGAGUAGGGCUACACACGUGCUACAAUGGCGCAUACAAAGAGAAGCGACCUCGCGAGAGCAAGCGGACCUCAUAAAGUGCGUCGUAGUCCGGAUUGGAGUCUGCAACUCGACUCCAUGAAGUCGGAAUCGCUAGUAAUCGUAAAUCAGAAUGUUACGGUGAAUACGUUCCCGGGCCUUGUACACACCGCCCGUCACACCAUGGGAGUGGGUUGCAAAAGAAGUAGAUAGCUUAACCUUCGGGAGGGCGUUUACCACUUUGUGAUUCAUGACUGGGGUGAAGUCGUAACAAGGUAGGCGUAGUGCU
rnacentral:rRNA from 1 species